AGGGUUUUUCACGUGAAAAAGGAAAAGAGAAGCGGCUGAAAGAGAAAGGGAAAAGAGGCAGAGCAAGAGAAGAGGAAAAGCUUGAAGCUAACGGAAUUGCCGGAUUUACUCAGGUAACGAGCAGUGAUUGAGUAGGAGCUAGUACUUGGAGUCUAGAGUAGUUCCUUAGUGGGUCAUGCUCUGAUAGAUGUAACAUCGGGAAGGGAUGUUUUAAAUGUUUUACUGUUGGUUGUGAACCAUUUUACAUGUAAUGUGUUACAUGCUUUGAUUGA